UACAGAGGUGCCGAGCGUUAGGCGGAAUCACUGGGCUUAAAGCGCGCGUAGGCGGACGUUUAAGUGUACUUCGGUGAAAUCCCGACGGCUUCAACCGUGGAACUGCUGGGCAUACUGGACGUCUCGGAGGCGACUCAGGGGCGAGCGGAAACAAGUGGUGGAGCGGUGAAAUGCGUAGAUAUCACUUGGAACGCCAAUCGGUGGAAGACAGCUCGCUGGGGGGUGUCCUGACGCUGGAGGCGACGAAAGCCAGGGGACGCGAAACGGG
rnacentral:rRNA from 1 species